AGGAUGGCAAGGAGGUGAGAGUCCGUGAUGUCACAGUGCUCGAGGGCCAGGGUCUCCAGGGUGCUGGCCAGUUUGUGUAUCAGAGCCUGGAGGGUCCCAGGAUUGAAUGAUUUCAUUGAAAUGUUCCUCAGGAUCAGAGACUUGAGCUGGCUUGUGCUUGCACAUUGGGACAGGUGCUUCAGGAAUCUGCUAAGGGAGCAGCAUUCAUGGCUCUGGGCCCUGCAGUCCAGAAGUCCCGGUGUCCAUCCCUCCAGUCCAG
rnacentral:lncRNA from 1 species